rnacentral:rRNA from 1 species
GACGAACGCUGGCGGCGUGCCUAAUACAUGCAAGUAGAACGCUGAAGGAGGAGCUUGCUUCUCUGGAUGAGUUGCGAACGGGUGAGUAACGCGUAGGUAACCUGCCUGGUAGCGGGGGAUAACUAUUGGAAACGAUAGCUAAUACCGCAUAAGAGUAGAUGUCGCAUGACAUUUGCUUAAAAGGUGCAAUUGCAUCACUACCAGAUGGACCUGCGUUGUAUUAGCUAGUUGGUGAGGUAACGGCUCACCAAGGCAACGAUACAUAGCCGACCUGAGAGGGUGAUCGGCCACACUGGGACUGAGACACGGCCCAGACUCCUACGGGAGGCAGCAGUAGGGAAUCUUCGGCAAUGGACGGAAGUCUGACUGAGCAACGCCGCGUGAGUGAAGAAGGUUUUCGGAUCGUAAAGCUCGGUUGUAAGAGAAGAACGAGUGUGAGAGUGGAAAGUUCACACUGUGACGGUAUCUUACCAGAAAGGGACGGCUAACUACGUG